GACGAACGCUGGCGGCGUGCUUAACACAUGCAAGUCGAACGGAAAGGCUCCAGCCUGCUGGAGUACUCGAGUGGCGAACGGGUGAGUAACACGUGGGUAAUCGGCGCUGCACUCGGGGAGAAGCCUGGGAAACUGGGUCUAAUACUGGAUAUGACCUUUCUCCUUUUGGGGUUUGGUGGAAAGUUGUUCGGUGUAGGAUGAGCCCGCGGCCUAUCAGCUGGGUGGUGGGGUGAUGGCCUACCAAGGGGACGCCGGGUAGCCGGCCUGAGAGGGUGAUCGGCCACAUUGGGACUGAGAUACGGCCCAGACUCCUACGGGAGGCAGCAGUGGGGAAUAUUGCACAAUGGGCGGAAGCCUGAUGCAGCGACGCCGCGUGAGGGAUGACGGCCUUCGGGUUGUAAACCUCGUUCAGCAGGGACGAAGCGUAAGUGACGGUACCUGCAGAAGAAGCACCGGCUAACUACGUGCCAGCAGCCGCCGUAA
rnacentral:rRNA from 1 species